CCCUUAGAUGUUCUGGGCCGCACGCGCGCUACACUGACUACUUCAACGAGUUGUUUCCUUGAUCGAAAGGUCUGGGUAAUCUUUGAAAGGUAGUCGUGAUGGGGAUAGAUCCUUGCAAUUUUUGAUCUUCAACGAGGAAUUCCUAGUAAACGCAAGUCAUCAGCUUGCAUUGAUUACGUCCCUGCCCUUUGUACACACCGCCCGUCGCACCUACCGAUUGAAUGGUCCGGUGAAAUCUCGGGACGGCGGCUUGGUCGCUUGCGUCCGACUGCUGAAACUUGAUUAAACCAUAUCAUUUAGAGGAAGGUGAANUCGUANCA
rnacentral:rRNA from 1 species